UAGACAAAUUAUUGUAUUCGACUGUAUUCACGGCGUGAAACAGGGGAUUACACUNAUUACACUAUUUUUAAAACGGAAAAUGAAUCAAUUAACAUAAUAAACUACU
rnacentral:pre_miRNA from 1 species